rnacentral:rRNA from 1 species
GAUGAACGCUAGCGACAGGCUUAACACAUGCAAGUCGAGGGGCAGCACGGGAGUAGCAAUACAACUGGUGGCGACCGGCGCACGGGUGAGUAACGCGUAUGCAACCUACCUAUCAGAGGGGAAUAACCCGGCGAAAGUCGGACUAAUACCGCAUAAAACAGGGGCACCGCAUGGUGAUAUUUGUUAAAGAAAUUCGCUGAUAGAUGGGCAUGCGUUCCAUUAGGUAGUUGGUGAGGUAACGGCUCACCAAGCCGACGAUGGAUAGGGGAACUGAGAGGUUGGUCCCCCACACUGGUACUGAGACACGGACCAGACUCCUACGGGAGGCAGCAGUGAGGAAUAUUGGUCAAUGGGCGAGAGCCUGAACCAGCCAAGUCGCGUGAAGGAAGAAGGAUCUAUGGUUCGUAAACUUCUUUUGCGGGAGAAUAAAGUGCAGGACGUGUCCUGUUUUGUAUGUACCCUGAGAAUAAGGAUCGGCUAACUCCGUGCCAGCAGCCGCAGUAA